GGCCAUAUCACGUUGACACACCAAUUCUCAUACAAUCAUCAAAAUUAAGCAACUUCAAGUCUGGUCAGUACCUAGAUGGGUGACCACUUAGGAAUACCAGGUGUUGUAAG